AGCAUCUGCCAUCUCUAUGUGUUUACAUGUGAAUAUUUUGCUGAUUUCUAGCAAAAUCCAAAUUUACACAAUUUCCCCGCAAUAUGAGCUCUCCAACAAGUAAAAAUGUCAGCGAGACGAACGGAAACAAGCCAAAGAAGACGGGUAAAACAAAUUCCACGACGAAAAGUGGCUCCAUGGACACGCGCGCGGAAUUGGCAGACCUCAUCAAAAAAAAGGCAGAGACCUCGGAACAGUUGGCCAACCUAGAACGGCAAAUAUACGCCUUCGAGGGAUCGUAUCUGGAGGACACCCAGCUAUGUGGGAACAUCAUUCGCGGCUGGGAGCGGUACCUGACCUCCAACAAGGCAACGAACUCGAAGGCCGACAAACGAAAUCGCAAGUUCAAGGAGGCCGAGCGGCUGUUCUCUAAAUCCAGCAUCACUUCGAUGGCUAUAUGUAAUCCUGAGCGCGCCAGCGAAUCGGAUUCUAUAACCAAUGAAGACUCCAGCGACAAUCAGAUCUCUCUGAACCAGAACACAACAACGGCCCACGAUGGAGCCACGACAAUCAAGAGCACACCAAAAGAUGAAAAGGAUAUACCUAAGAAGCUAGAGGCUAUUCAAAUUAAGAAAGAACUGAGCUAACAACAAAAGGAUUUCAAGAUGCUAAAAGCAAAACAAAUCUGUGAUCAAAAUACUCAAUUUAAUAACAAGGUUAUAAAAAGGUUCCUUAGCUUUGCUAAACUAGUCAAAAUUUCAAGAAAUCCACUGCUCAAGAAUAAGGCUAGCGUUUAUAUAUUUGUAAUCGCACUAGAGUUUAAAAUUGUAUUAAGACAUUCUCCUUCGCAUCGGAAUGAAGGUAGUCUUGGCGGCGUAUCAGCCGGCGGAGGAGCAAGUGGUGGAGGCAUUGGAGGCUUGAGCUCCGGC
rnacentral:misc_RNA from 1 species